ensembl:lncRNA
AUGGAAAUGGGUGAAAACACUGUCUCUGGUUGUACUGAGUUGGCUUCGACACCUCUGAUGGAAGACCACGAUUACACAGCCAGCUCUUUCAUCGUGGUCGACCGUGAGAAAUUUGAGAGCAUGUCGAGGCAGAUCGAGGAGCUCACACGGCAAAUCGAAACACUGCACAUGGAGAGAUUUGGAUUGCAACGGUUUUCUACAUCACCUAGUGACAUUCGCUACUAUUCCAGAUUUCCAUCAUAUGAACAUUUGAUGGCCUUUUGGGAUCUAAUUCAAGAGGCAACAAGCAGAAUGGUGAGAGUCACCAGUGGUCAGAAGAACCUCUCCACCAGUACAUCCACUGAGACCCCUAUGAACAGACCAACAGUAAGUUUUACAAUAAACAUAUACCACCGGCUCGGUACAUGUGGAUCACACAUUUUGCUGGUGACUGCCACAGAAGAGGCAGUUAACUGUGUAUUGUUUCUGCUCAGCUCUGUGCAUGCACCACAUAUUUUAAACACCCUAGUUUGUGUAUGUUAUCGUUGUGUUGUAGUGCUUCUAUCUACAGUAUCUAAUACAGUGACUAUUUUCCCUAGAAACUGCUGCCAAUUGACGAGCUCUUCCUCUUCCUCAACUACCUGUCAACCGGCUGUACACAAAGGGAGCUUGGUCACAAGUUCAAUAUCCACAGAGCAACAGCAAGCAGAAUAAUUGUGACGUGGUCCAACUUUUUGUAUACUUUGCUUGGAUCGCGUUAGCAUGACGUGUCACUGCCUGUUACGAACCCUUGCUCGUUAAAGAGGUGCAACAAAAAGGAGGGAGACAACUGAUAAAAUGUUUGAAUACGUUAUCAUUUAUUGAUAAAUCAAGGGAUAGGGGGGAAUUAAAUAAAGAGAAAGGAGAUUGCCCUUCAAUAAACAAAGCAUUCAAAUGAACAUGUACAAUUAACUUAAUCAUUAGUAACAUAAGAUCUUUUCCUCAUUGACCUGUAGCACUCUGCCCUGACCAUCACCUCUCCUGAACCCGGAUCUUUGUCAGACACUGUGGAAAAAUAACAAUUUUAGCAAGUUAGUAAUUAAUAGGAUAGCAUGCAAGUUAGUUGGUAAGAACAAUGACUAGCAACUCUAAUAGGAAAAUAUUGUUGUCCAUCUAAAGUUCGUUUGUUCAUACACAGGCAAUCGCAGUUUGCGAACUUGACAACGAACGAACCAACGUUUGAUACUUUUAGGCUACUGCCUAUAUAACACGCAGGAGUGUCAACAACACAUAUCCUCCGAACAUAACAUCAUAAACUAAACAAGGGCUAAGACAAACAUCUAACGCACGAUUUCGACUUUUAUAAUGUAUAGAGAUAACAUAACAUUGACCAGAUAACAUAACUUUAGCACGUAGCAUGGAUAUCAUGUUGUUGUGACUUACCUUCAAAAUUGUGCAAAUAUUGCGAUAGAUACAGUAUAAACCCCUUUUCUCGUUUGGUUUGGGGUGCGGGUGAAAAUAUGCUGACCAGUCGAUGAACAUCGUCAACUGUUAUCGCCGGCAUAUGUCCAAGACAUCUUGAGAAAUUUGCUUCGGCCAUUGGGCUACCGGAUUCCAGCCGAGUCGUGUUGAUACCGGAAGCUCGACAGCCAAUAGGAAGUACGCUACCGGAAGUAGCAUAUGCUAAUGUGCACGUAGUGAAUAAGGUCUUUUAUGGCUUAAAUUAAAGAGCCUGUAAUGAUCUUUCAUUUUGAACAUAGACCAUUCCCAACCUAUCUGUAUGGAUAGUUUUCUUCUAAAAACAAAACAACCCUCGGAAUCAUCUUGGC